UCAUUUUCACUAUUUGUGUUUCAAAAAAGAUAUAUUAGGGUCCUGCCCAGUGGCGCAGCGGUUAAGUUCGCACGUUCCGCUUCUCGGCGGCCCUGGGGUUCACCGGUUCUGCUCCUGGGUCAGAGGAAGAUGGGCAUGGAUGUUAGCUCAGGGCCAGUCUUCCUCAGCAAAAAGAGGAGGAUUGGCAGUUGUUAGCUCAGGGCUAAUCUUCCUCAAAAAAAAAAAAGAUAUAUUAAGUUGCUUUAUAAUUAAAUUAUUUCCUGAGGUAACUAUUGUCCUUAAACAUUAGGCCACUGGUUAAGAAAUAGCAUUUGACUUUUUAGUAGUAUUAUCUGCACCUUUCAGAAUGAAUACACCAAAUUUUAAAUCUUAUUGCUGUACUCUAAAAGAAUAGUUCUAUGAUGUACAAAAAAGCACAUAUUGAGAACUGCCAGAGCAGCUGAUACCAUGUGCCAUCUAAGCCAGUGAGCUCCCGUGCUUUGGACUUGUAUCGGGGAGCCCACUUAUUUAGGAGGUUUCCUGAAGAAGUGCCCUCAGUUGCAGGACUCUAUAGUUGUCCAACAGCUCCAGUCUCUUCCAGCACACUUAACAUCCUGCCGAAGCAAAUGUAACUUGCAGAUUUGGGCAAAAAACAGAAAACAAAGAGCACAAUGAGGAUUAUUAGCACAGCCAGUUUAAAAUGAUGAGGUGUUAACCACAUUUGUAUAAAUAACAGUUUCUCUAACCCCUGAAUCAUUAUCCUGUAUUUUUAAUGCAAUCGGUUCAUAAACAUCAAAGCAAGAACACCAAAUUCGUAUGGGGUCAGGACCAACUGGGGCUCUGAAUGGGAAGACAGCUGAGAGCUGUGUCCUUAUGCGUGGGUGGCCUCGCAGCUGUUGAUUCACCCUUAGGCUACUAGACAGUUGCCUCUGUGCUUGCAGAACCAGACUUCAGUCUUAGGUAAAAAUGUAUCCCCUCCCAUGGAAUGGCCAUAAACAAUGGAUUGACAUCAGCUCUCAAAACAUCAGCGAGGCAGCCAGACACAGCAGUUCCCCUGAAAUACUGAGUAGUACCAAGCAUAACAUCAGGGCUGUUUCUACAUAAUAUUUGUCUUUGUACGCUAACACUGGGUCUCUUAAGUGUACUAUAAAAGCUCAUAGUCCGAAAGGUUCAAGGUGAUAUUAUCUUUCUCCACAAAUGGUAAGAGCGCUAGGAAUAACUAGCUUGCAUGACGCACAACUGCCAUAUUUUGGUCCUUACAAGGACUCCCAAAUAUACUUCUUAAUGACAAGUGAAAUUAUAUUUACAUCGAACAUUUUUAGAAAAAUCAGUAUUCGUUGUGAGAUGAUAGAAGGCAUAAUUUUGGAAUCAAAACUGAGUUCAGAGUUCAUUUGGACUCUUAUUAGCUAAGUGUCCUUGCACAAAUUUCUUAAACUUUUGAGACUUAAAAUCAGGCAUGGG
rnacentral:lncRNA from 1 species